UCAAGAAACUUCCACAAUGGGCGAAAGCCUGAUGGAGCGACGUCGCGUGAUGGACGAAGUGCUUCGGCACGUAAACAUCUUUUAUGUGGGAUGAAAUUAUUGACAGUACCACAUGAAUAAGGGGCUCCUAACUCUGUGCCAGCAGGAGCGGUAAUACAGAGGCCCCAAGCGUUAUCCGGAAUCACAGGGCGUAAAGGGUGUCGAGGCGGUUGUAUUAGUCGUUCGUAAAAUCUACGAGCUUAACUUGUAGGCGGCGAACGAAACGGUACGACUUGAGGUUUGGAGAGGUGCGUGGAACUCACGGUGUAGGGGUGAAAUCCGUUGAUAUCGUGGGGAACACCAAAGGCGAAGGCAGCGCACUGGCCAAAAUCUGACGCUCACACACGAAAGCUAGGGUAGCGAAGAGGAUUAGAUACCCAAGUAGUCCCUGAGCGGGCUGGCAAGGCGCAU
rnacentral:rRNA from 1 species